rnacentral:lncRNA from 1 species
GUGAGCGGAGAGGCGGCGGACAGGGGCGGGAAAGACGCUGCCGGAGCCGGCAGAAGAAUUUCACCUCCUUUCACCCGGGCGGCAGCUCCGGUCCAGGAUACUCGGAUCCUCGAGAGAGGAAGGAGUCCAGGCUGCCCAGCGAAGUGAAGGGGGCUCGGAGUCAGGGGAAGAGGGAAACGCAGGCCGGGGGAUCCCAGCCGCCAGGGGGCUCCGCUGAGGGUUUGUCCGCAGAGGUGCGAUUACUUAGAGCAGCAUUUCGGGCAGCGACCGGUGUUCCUCGUUUAUUUUUCCAGGACCCCUGCCAUACUGUUCCAUGCUGAAGGGCAGACACACCUGCUUCCCCCUCGUCACCUGUUCCCAACCUGUCACUGGCGGUUUUCCUUCCGAAUACCUGAGCCAAUGAGAUGACCCUGUGAAUCAAAAUGACACCCACACUCGGUCUGGGAAGGGAGGCGCUGAAGACGAUGAGAGGCUCUGUGGGACAAUACCGUGCUGCUCACGGAGUAGCGAGGAGCCCAGGUAAGGAGUGAGACACAGAGCCACUGCCGAGGCUGGACAGGCAGUAUCUGGAUUACUUACUACUCCUUAGCAUAGUUGCCUAAACUGGUGCCCACAUAAGCUCAGUUUCUUUUCCUACUGUCUUAGUGAGAAGAAUGGGAAAGGCCUGAUAUUUCUGUCUUUGAGAAGCAGAUUUUUGCAGGCUAUGCAUCCUAGGAAGCCCUAAUUUACCCUCUGCUUCCUUCAAAGCUUGUAGCACAGAAUGCCCAUCUCUGACCACUCCUGGGUGGGAUGGUGAGUGUCCCAGACUAUGUAAGCUUUCCUCUUCAUUUCCUGGAGGAGCCGGCCAGACCAGAAGCUCUGUUCUGUGUCUUGUCUCCCUUAUGUUCCAGCAGAAGCCCCAAUAAAGCCUCAUGUGGAUGGUGCACAUUUGCAUCUUUGUGAUUUCUAUCUCAAAUUGAGGAAAGGAUGCUGGUCAAGAUAAUAUCUAUAGCUCCU